rnacentral:rRNA from 1 species
GACGAACGCUUGCGACGUGCCUAAGAAAUGCAAGUCGAACGGGGUAGCAAUACCUAGUGGCGAACAGUCGCGUAACACGUGGGCAACCUGCCUUGAAGCGGGGGACAACAAUCCGAAAGGGUUGCUAAAUACCGCAUGUGAACUUUUUGUGGCAUCACGAAAUGUUCAAAGCUUUAUGCACUUCAAAGAUGGGCCCGCGGCCUAUCAGCUAGUUGGUGGGGUAACGGCCUACCAAGGCUCGACGGGUAGCUGGUCUGAGAGGACGAUCAGCCGGAUUGGGACUGAGAUACGGCCCAGACUCCUACGGGGGGCAGCAAUUAGGAAUCUUGCGCAAUGGGGGCAA